GACCUUAAAUAGUAUAAAAACCCUUAUUGAAUUGAUUUACCUUGAGUUAGGGUUGAGAAUAAUUAUGUUGAAAAGGUUCAAGUUUGGGGUUAAAUGGGGAAAGUGAAAGGCAAAAGAGAAAGAAAAGCAAAAGAUGAAAAAGAAAAAUACAUGUGAAAAGGAAAGAAAAGAAGAAAAGAGUUUAUGCAUGUAAAAAGAACUCAAUGUAAAAUGAAAAAGGGAAAAGUUGGGAAUGAGUGAGAUUGGUUGAAAAGAGAGUGUGCUUGAACUUUGAAUGAUGAUUUAAACUCUCUUAACUCAAGGAUUUUGUUUCGAGAAGAACCAAUUUUCUUGAUAGCCCAGCCACAAUACAAGCCUUGGAAAAGUCCUUGUGAUGACAUAUGCAUGUGAAGAUUUUGAUUGUUUAAGAUGAAUGACAAUAUUGUUUUAUGUGACAUGUAAAUAGUAGAGAGUAGAGUGACCUCCCAAAACACUUGAGUGAUUGAGUGAAACCUUGU
rnacentral:lncRNA from 1 species